UACGUAGGGACCAAGCGUUGUUCGGAUUUACUGGGCGUAAAGGGCGCGUAGGCGGCUUAACAAGUCACUUGUGAAAUCUCCGGGCUUAACCCGGAAAGGUCAGCCGAUACUGCGGGGCUAGAGUGCAGAAGGGGCAACUGGAAUUCUCGGUGUAGCGGUGAAAUGCGUAGAUAUCGAGAGGAACACCUGCGGCGAAGGCGGGUUGCUGGGCUGACACUGACGCUGAGGCGCGAAAGCGUGGGGAGCAAACAGG
rnacentral:rRNA from 1 species